GCCGGCCCCUCCGGCCAUCUCGCUCCCUGCUCUGACUACACCAGCGCCCCACGGGGAUGCUCCGAGCGCCUCCACCUCUUUUCCCUGAGCGUUUUCUUCCUGCCCCUGCUUUCCGUCCCGUCUCUCCCGUCCCCGUCUGGUCUCAGUCUCUGCCCGUCUCUCUGGUAUCGGUCUCUGCCGUCUCUCUGGUCUCUCUAGCUUGCUCAUUCUCUCCUCAUCCCUUCAUAGUUCUCUUCCAUCCCUCUUCCUUAGCCUCCCUCUCCCAUACCCUCCUCUCCCUUUCCUCCUGGACUCUUUCUCCUCUCACCCCUUUCUCUGUCCCCCCAUCUAUUCCCACCCCCGUUCCUUUUUCAUUUUUUCCUUCUCCACCCUCCCUGGCUCCCCUACUCUUCUUUCCCCUCCGUCUCACCUUUUCUCGCCCCUCUCUUGUCUGCUCCUCAAUCUCCUGUCCCUAUAAUCUCUAUGAAGGUGAGAACUUUUUCUGGACCUCAGGAUUUAAGUGUCCAACCUAGCUGAUCUCCCACCUCCCCAACCCCCCCCACACACACACACACAAGGCUCCUCCGCAGGGGACUCGGGUGGGAGAUCUGCAGGUGGGUGCCGUGGGGAGGGACAGCUGCCUGCUUGUAAAUCCGCCCCCUGCCUUCUUCUGGGCUGCCUCUCCUGGAAAGGUGGAAAUUUUGCUCUUGGGAACUCACUCUAGAGAGGCGGCGGUGUGGUUUGGGCAUUCCCUUAAGAGACAAGACCAGACCCCCCCCCCCCACGGCAAUGCCUGUUUUCCCCUCAGAGCACCCCCUUCCUUCCCCGAACCCCUUAGGACCACCACCUCUGGGGUAGACGUUCCAGGUCUUGGUCUCUUUCAGACCUGCUUCUUUUUCUUCAUCCCCUUACCUCACUGCCCCAAGCAGUUAAAUCCUUUAUCAGGGCUAAAGAUUUUAACGAAAUACGAAACGAAGGGCCAAACAGUUCUCCUGAGCCUUCUCACCUAUUGCAUCAGAUGGCAGCUUUACGCAAAGAAACCCCAAAGUACUUGAGAGCAGGGUGAGUGCGUGAUGGUGUUAUCUGCUCGAAUUAUAUGCUGUCGACUGCGGUUGAGUUCUCUGGUGUUUUCCUGAAUCAAUAUUAAGCAUUACUUAAGAAAAUUACAUUGCUGUGUGGGCAUCUUUUAGAUUUAUGAAAAAAUCAUCGUUUUCUUUAAAAGACCCCAAAUGACCUCGGCUUGAUCUUUCUACAGGCGGCCUAUCAGAAGCCAUCACUUCUUCCCUGCCUGGCACUUUCACUGCAGGCUCUUUCACACUAAUCAAAUAAUGCUUGUUCUGCCAAUUUCACUAAAGCUGGAACCCCUGGGAUUCCAAACAAAUAGCAUCCUAACUCCAGCAGAGAAGGUCAGGUAAUUCCUGACCCAUCCUGCCAGUCCUUCUUUUCUAAGGUUUAGGUUCCACACAUUUCCCGAGUUAGAAAUAGCAUAGGUGUAACAACUCUAGAAAAACAUCUUCAGCUGAGGGAGGCUUAGUGCUUUAAUAUCAGAGGUUUAUUUUCCAUCCUGCAGUUACAUGUUGAGUCUGAUGAAAGGUUCAUGUGAUAGAAUGCAAGCAUGGGGGGUAGGGGAUCUCAGUUUUAUUUUUCAAACAGGAUUUAUACAAAUGAAGUGGAAGAAUUCUUUGCAGAAAUGCCUUGGUUAUUUGCUUCUUGAAUCAUUGCUAAUCAGAAUUCUUUGGAACAGUCUGUUAUUGUUUUUCAUUCUUCGCAAUGAAGAUGACAUUGGGGAUCAGGGGAAGAGGAAUGUGUAUUCCCUUCUGGGAUCACAGAGUCCUAACAUUUUAGACUUGGAAGAGAUCUUAGAGAUGAACUGGACCACUGCCUAUAUUUUGAAAGAUGCGAGAAAACAAAGGUUUGAAAUGAGAAAUGGGGAUUUUUUUUUUUAAGAGAGAGAGGGACCUCAGGAAAUUAAAUGUUUCCUAUUUCUACAUUAAUGCUGUGUAUAAUAAUAAUUCCUUUGGUGCCCAUAUGCCAAGCGGCAAUAUAGCAAUGGGCAAUAUAUAAAAUACACGGGUCCUUGUAAGUAUAUUUUCUUUUCUCUGUAUUUAAAAUUGAGAUUCUAACAUACAGUUUGCAAGUGAGAGAUUUCUUUAUUGAAAGUAAUUAUCAACUUUUUCAUUUCUUACUUUGAUAAAAUCCUAACUGAACCCAUUGCCCUCCACCUAGCAUGUCAUGUUAUGUUGUCUAUUCCACAUCUAAAUAGAGGCAAAAUCUCAGCACUUUUUAAAGUGCAAGUUCAAUUUCUUUGCAUUUUUUCAUGCUGCUUCCAACAUACAGCUGUCUAAGAGAGGGUAAUGUGUGGCAUACAUAAAAUAUUCAAAAUGCAAUGAAAGAAAGGAAGAAAUGAAUAGUCAUUAAUGUUUUAGGAUUCUGUGCACAAAAGGAUUCUGAUGGUGUUUCAGGUAACCUGAGGUUGAUUGUCUCUUUAUGUACUUUUGCAAAUUCACUACCUACUGGUUGUUCAGAGCACAUAUGGUAGUUACCAAAUUAUUUCCUCAGUUAGAGGUAAUAUGCUUUGGGAAAGCAAUCAAAAUACCUGAUUAGGUAUUCAAGGAGAACUGGGACAGCUACCAAACCGAUAAUUACUUUAAAAGGGAGAGUCGUUAUAUUCUAGUUAUGUUCUGAUACUUCUCGGGAUUUCUUUUUUAGGAUGCAUUUUCAUAAGCUGCAGAGUUAGAAAAGGCUGGUUUGCUUCUUUUAUAGAGGAAAACAUUCACUGCUCAGCUGAACUUUGUGAAUUGAGGAUACGCUGUUUCUAUACUUCUAGAGAAAUUGUAAAACAAUUUUAAGAGUUUUGUGUGUAACAUAAAAAUAUCUGCUUAACAGUUUUGUGUACAAUAAAAAGCUUAGGUUUAUCACAUCAUAUGAUAAAUUCAGUCAUUUCGUGAGGCUUUUAAGAGACUCUCUGGCCUGUGUUACCAAAAUCUCUUGCAUGUUGCUGUCUGAAUUCUGGUUGUCUUAAAUUAAAUUAAUAUAUAAAUUUCCUCUAUGAUAUAUUCUAUGUAGAAAUAAUGAUAUACAUAUCUUCCCCCUUUGUCUAUUACUAAACCCUCUUUUGACUAGAGGCAUUUUUAGGUAACUCUUAGUUUUUUAUAAUUGGAUUUUAAAACUCUGUACUUUUAGAAUGAACUGGUGAAAAUGUUAAAAGUAUACUUUUAGAUAAUUAUUUGCAUCCUUUAUUAGUUACUGAACCAAAAGAAUACAACCCACAGCUCCAGUGUAAGAUUUUUGCCUUUCAAAAGCUGGAAGAUGUUGGUUUUGAAAUGAAAGUAGCCUGUAAUCCCAGCACAGUGCUUGCACCUAGUAGGUAGCUUAACCUACAAAAACUGCAUUUUCGGACUCUGUAAACCUAGACAAAGUAGCAUCAGCAUUGGGGAAUGCUGGCCAUGAAGAGUGCCAGAGUUUACUGGCUUCCACUCCAGGCUUGGAGCGUGGGACGAUGGCGUGACUGGCCAGGGACCUUGUUCUGUCAGUUGUGUGUGCAGCAGCAGGGUCCCCAAAAGCUGCUUGAUGGUGCACUGACUCAGAGCCCUGCUUUCACUGUGGCUCACCUCCUGAGUGUCCCCUUUUUAGUUAAUUAGGCAUCGCCAGGGGCAGGGAACCAAAUGGCAAUUGAGUGACAAUUCCUCACUCCUCUCCUGGCCCCUCAGAGCCAACCAUACAAUUCGGCAUGCACACAGUGUUGGUAAUAAUAACUGCAGCAGCAGCAGCAGCAGGAAGCAUUUCCUACUUGCUUGUGCCAAACUCUGGGCCAGCAGAGAACAUAGGAUGUUUGAGGAUGUUUGAAUCUCCCUGGUUCUGCUCUUUUGAUGGUCGUUGUACAGGUGAGGAAACUGUAGUUUCACAGAGUCAGGUGGAGUUUAUACAGCCACAUGCUCUCAUAACAGCUCAUGAGUGGCAAGGCUCUGAAAUUUCAUCAGCAUGAGUAAAAGCUGUUGGAAAUGGCAGUCGGGCCAGGUGCCAUCCAAGCACCUUGCUGUUUCCAGGCAGUCGUUUAUUAACUGUGACCAUUGUGAUAAUCCUUUCUAUCCACAGAGAAGAGCUGCUCAGCCAGCCAUCCGCAAAAGAUUCACAGAACAUCAGGACUAAAGCAUCCUUGAGUCUUAACUGUUUGAAUUUAAAAUUGGAAAGCAAUUUCAGGACAAGUUCUGUUUGCCUGACAGUUUCUGGAUGUUUUUUAAUAAAGGAAACUUGUCUAAGUGUAAGGAAACAGUAAAGGGCUCUGCAGCUCAGCUUUGUGAAAUGAUAUGCAGUGAUGUCACUAAAAUCCACCUUAGGUCUGAGAGGGGGCCACACCAUGGUGUCACUGGGAAGCACAAGUGCACACACAUGUGCACACACACACACACACACACACAGAGACAUACAUAAAGCCCAUCUUCCAAAAUACUAGGCCUAGAAAUAGCACUUUACUUAUGACUGUAAAACCAGCAGUCUCAUCAGAAAGAGUGACAAAGAUGAACAGCCUGUUGGGCUCCUAAAAUCUGUGGGCUUCUAACCGGCUAUAACACAGAGAUUUUUUUUGAGACAGGGUCCCCUCUAUCACCCAGGCUGGAGUGCAGUGGCAUGAUCAUUGUUCACUGUAAUCUUUAAUUCCUGGGCUCAAGCAAUCCUCCCAUCUCAGCCUCCCAAGUAGUUGGGACUACAGGUGCACACCACUUUGCCCAGCUAAUUUUGUUUAUUUUUUGUAGAGAUAGGGGUCUCACUAUGUUGCCCAGCUGGUCUCAAAUUCCUGGGCUCAAGCAGUCCUCCCACCUCGGCCUCCCAGAGUAUUGGGAUUACAGGUGUGAGCCACCUCACCCAGCCAUACAACACACAAAAUGUUUAAAGGCCCUGUAUUAGGUUGCUGGGGCUGCCAUAACAGAGGACCUGGAAGUCCAAGAUCAAGGUGUCAGCAGGGCUCAUUUCUCCUGAGUCCUGCCUGCUUGGCUUGUAGAUGCUGUGUCCUCCCUGUGUCCUCACAUGACCUUCCUUCUGUGUGUGUCUGUGUCCUAAUCUCCUCUUCGUGUAAGAACACAGUCAGAUUGGAUUAGGGCCCAUCCUCCUGACCUGACUUUAACUUAAUUACCUCUUAAAAACCCUGUCUCCAAAUAAGGUCACCCUCUGAGGUGCUGUGGGUUAGGGGUUCACCAUGUACCUUGGUGAAGGGAGGAGAAACAAUUCAGCCCAUAACACAACCAAACAGGCAUUUCUUAACCAGUUGCUCAUCUUGUUUCUGCAACUGCUGUGCUAGUUUGAAAAGCAGUAGAUGAAGCCACACGGAGGGAGGCACUGGAUGGAGAAUGUUGCCCGCAGCUUUGAGCAGAGAGAUGGCUGCACACCCGGAGGGAAGCUAGAACAACCUAGAGCAAAAAUAGUGACUGGCAGGGGUGGGUAACGCCAUCUGAUUCGUCCAGGGAGACGUGGAUUUUUGGUAGCGUGCUUAUGAGUCACUGUGUUGUGUCCUGCACUGUGUACAGGGCACGGAGAUUAUUGCCACCACCGAUGACUGUGCAGCUUGAGGUAUCGAUACACUGGACUGUUCAGAGGAAAAAAUAGCUACUUGUUCUUCUAUCAAGUAGGGCAGGCAGGAGGACACAGGCAGGACUGCAUCCUAAAAAUAGCCCCACACCCGCUUGGAGAGCUCCAGCAGCUCAGCCCGGGGUGCAUGGGGCAGCUCCUGGUAGAAGCUACUUUUACUUCACCAUGAGACUUUGAGAAUCUGAACUUGCAGGAAGAGGGUUGUAGUGUAUUUUUGUAUACUUUUCUGAUUUCCCUUAAGCGAUGGGGGAGAUUGGGUUUUCUCUGUAAGGACAGUGUAGGUUCAUGGCUGUUUCUUAGUGGAAUGUGCCCAUGUGGACACUAAGCUGAAGUCUGAAUGAAGGCCUGACACCCACAACCUGGUCAGUGUCUCCCUUCUCAUCGUCAGGAAGAGACUCGUCCACACCCAGGUUUAGAAGGAAGGCAGCCUCACUAGUACCAUGUCAGAGGCAGAUAAGACACCAGCAGAAAUGGCUUUUAUAGUUCAGGAAACAAAACAGACACUUGUGGCAGGGAUUUUGAGCCCCACUUUGGAGCUCCUAGAAUCAGAGGUUGUUGCUGCCCUAGAUGUGUUGAUGUAGUCGGGAGGGGAGAGGACGGCUGGCCACAAGUGUUAGUCCUUUCUUCUCUGCCAGUGGUUCCCAACCCUGGCAGCACAUUAGAUGCCCUGAGGAGUGUGCAGAUUAUUUCAGUACCAGGGCUGUCCCCUCAAAGACUCAGACUUUGUGGUCUAGGAUCAGGCCCUGACAGAGGCUGGUCCAAAGAGCUCCUCAUGAUUCUAAUGGGCAGCCCGGGUUGGAAAAGCUGCCUGACGCUGGCCAUGGUCCACCUCCUCCCUCCCCACCCAUCUGGCAGACACAGCCUCACCCACCAGUAACCACAGCCCAGAGCUUCAGAAGUGGUGAUAAUUAAUCCCCCCAACCUCCCCACCCCACCUGGCUCACACUCCCUGUCCUAGGUCAACCCUGACUCAGCGCCUUCAAAGCCCGACUUCUGUAGAGAUGCCAUCCUAAAGCCAGCCUUCCUCCCUGGACUGCUUAUGUAGACUACGAGGGAGUGUAAACCCUGAAAAAGAAAAUGUAGGGAUGAUUCCCUCCACCCUCGAUGAGACGCAGCUGCGGAGGGUGGUGUGAGCAGACCCUCCAGAGCCGUGGCUGACAAAUUAAUACAGCACGGGAAUCGAGUGCCUCCCGUCAUGCAGGAACUUCCUAGGCAUCAUUGGGGGAUCAGAUACACAUCAAGUGCCUGCCACAGGGAACGUACCCUCUAAUGGGGAGAAGACAAAACCCUUCACAUUUGCUUUUGACCUGCCAAGUGGCUUCACAAGUAUCUUUUUGUUAAUAUUUAGGAAAUAUCCAUGGAUCUGACAAUAGACAGUGGCCUGGGUAUAUAGUGGGGACAUGGGCACAGUGGGGUCCUGGGAUCAGCAGGGUCUUCAGAAAUUCCAAGUGAUGUUCUUAGAGGAAACACUCUACUUAAGGGUGAUUGAGACUCGACAUUAACAUGGGGCAUUAGUCACUCAGUGUUUUUUGGAAUACGGUUUCAUUGCUGAUAAAUGGAAAGGCCAGGCAUGCCCCCACACUGACCAAGAAGUUGUAGUAAUGGCAGAAAUGUUUCCAGUAAUGUCUACACUUUCCUACUCAGUAAGUCGGCAAGCUAAGCUAAGGUUUAAUUGUUCAGUUAUUUUCUCAUUGUUACACACAUCAUUCAUUCAUUCACUGAGCACUGUAGUGACGUUGCCCUUGGCAUUCCCAUGACGACCCUUCCCCAUUCUGCGUAACGUCUGCGACCCUCCCCUGGUCCUCUCCCUGGCCUGCUAAUCCCACAAGGCUGGGAGGAAACCAGCUGAGUGGGAGGACCAAGGACACCGGACUGGGAGAGCAGAUUUGGGACCAAUCAGGUGGCAGAGGAUUGUGAGAUGAGGGCAGGUGUGUCUGCAGAAGCCAGAAGAAGCUGCCCGACCUUGCCCCUUACCUGGCCAGCAGGGCUGGGCAUGGUCAGGGAGCCACACUCACCGAGCCUCUUCUAUUCCUAUUCUUCAGUGCUAGGCUCUCCUCUCCCGCUCUCUUCCUCUCCAGCCCUGUGCUCCUGCCUCGUGGGUGCCUGUCCUCUGCUUGGAUUCCUGCAGUGCCCCCAUCCAGUCUCUCUGUCCCUGUCCAUCCUCCCUGAUGCCACCUGCAUGGCUCCUCUAAAAUGCAGACCUAGCUUUAUCACAUCUGGUUAUGAACCUUAUGAAAUAGAGCUCAAGUUUCCCAGCACUGUACAGCCAUGAUGGCAUUCCUGCAUCCGCCACAGCCCCCACUGAGGCUCCUCUUCCACCAGCCCCUUCUGCCUGGAAGCCCCUCUUGCCCAUCUUCACCAGGUGAGUCCCUGGCCAUCCUUAAAAACCCUGCCCAGAUGCCCCAACUUCUCUGCAAACAGCUCCUCAACCACUCCUUCAAUAAAAGCGAUGACUUCCUCCUCUGAACUGCAGAGGAGGAAGCUCGGCAUUGUUUAGAAAAAGUUCAUUUCUGUGCUUAUCCUGCCAGUUUACAUAAUUACAACUGUAUUGCCCCUUCUCUUUGCUAAAUGUCCAACACUUUGUUUGUGCCAAAUAGAUGUUUGCCACAAGAUCUGUUUCCCUGAGCAGACUCCCCAUCCUCUUCAUUUUGCCCCUUCUUGCGAUGCAACAGGAAGAAACUGAGGCUUGCUGAGGUUGAAUCAUGCACAGAGCUGAGCUGCCACCAGGCAACCAGUCCAGUGCCAGAGCCACCUGGUCCUGAGGAGGUGUCUAGUUGGCAAGUACCACGUGUAGCAUUAUUGUUCCUCAUGGCACAUAUGGAUGUUAGGAAUGCCUCUGCAGUUCCAUGGUGCAUGGUUUUCCUACAAUACUCAGAAUCAAUCCACGAGAGGACGGAUGGUGCAUCCAUCAAGUCUGACACAUGGUACGGAAUUAUCAGCAACGUUGGACAAAUAUAUUGGCCCAGAUUCAUCAUAAGCUCCUUGUAUUGAUUGAGCAAAAUCGAUGAAUGUGUUAAUUGCUUCAAACCGUAGGAGAAAGAUAAUUAUUACAGCUUUAUUUAUUUUGUAUAUGAAAGGGAAAGGCAUUUUAGAGAUUCUGAAAAUAACUCAAGAAAGAAGUGCUUUUUGAACAUAAUUGUUACAUUGGUAAAAUCACUCAGAUUGAAGGAAUGUCUACCUUAAAAUAAUUUCUCUAAAAUAAAUACUAAUUCUUCAUCACAGUAUUUGGCAGGCAUUCUCGAGGUGUUUGACUGAGUUCUUUGAUGAAGGAGCUAAGGAAAUACUGUCUGGUAAAGGAUCAGUUACACGUAAAGUUGAAUUGUCCUCAGCUCACUUGGAAAUUGAAGGGAAAAUUUCCAGAAAAAUAUUUGAAGGGUAAUUCUCAUUUUUUGAUCUUGAAGAUCAGACAUUUGCAAAUAUCAGAAUAUGGAGUUACAGAACUUAUUACAUUUUGGUUCUAAUAAAAAGCUGUGAUUAAUAUUUUAUGAAUUUGGACAUUUUGUGCACAAAAUUAUUAAACCAAUUAUUUUUGCCUUACGGAUCAAUAUGUAUGUAUUAGGGUGAUUACUUAGUGUCAGAUUGGGUGCCCAUAUUGCUUCCCGUAAGAUGUCUGUCAGGAAUUGGAUAUAACUAUACCAAGUAAAGAUCAAUUGCUGCUAGGAUUAAUUUGUGCUGGAGUCCCUCAUGAUUAGUGACAUAUGCUACUCAACUCUGCUUCUCAGCCAAGGAAAAAUAAAAAUACCAUAGUGGAAACUUCACCAGAAUUGAGUGAGUUACAAGCUUAAAUUAACUGUAACUAGUUGAGUAUUAGAAGCCUUUAAAAUGUAACUUUUUAAGAGUCAUCAAAAUACUAAAUGAAUCAUAAUGUAUUUAACCUGGCUUUGUGCAAGGAGGCUGUUCUUUAUCAGAGCCCUCUCCUGCAGCGCACAUGUGCCUGCGUCUGACAGCACCUCUCGGGUGGGAGCCUUCCUCCUCCAGGUUGGGUGGGAGAGAAGAGCACAGCAAAGCCAGGGGCCUUGUCCACAGUAGCGGGUUAGGAUCCUCCAGGGGAAGUGCCUUCAUCCAAUGUGAACAAUGCCUAAAACUAAUGCAGGAGAGCUGCAGAGACUGGUGGCUGUGACCCCACCCCUCCAGAGCCCUGCUGACUUCCUUUGAUCUCUUUCAUAAUGUACCCUAUGAAACAUCAUUAUCUUAGAGAACUCAUACAAGACUGCUACUCUAACUAUAAAGAUAAAAAUUUCACAACACUUAAAGGACAUUACCGUAAGUCACAAAUAAAACUGAUCUAAUAAAAAGUGAGUUGGAACUGAAUUGAAUUAAAGUGCUUAUUUUAUUAGUAAUUUCAUUUAAGAGGGUAUCCUGGCAUCUGCCUUUUCAUAAGAGAGAUAGAGGGCUCUUGGUUAUUCUUGAUGAUCGGUCAAAGAGAAACAGGUGACCAACCACAGGAGUCCCUUCCUGCUGCCCCAAACCCCUCGAAGCCACCUGGAGGACUGCAUGGCCUCGAGGUGUCUGGGGACACCUGCAGACUCCUCCCCAGAAUAACGUCUUUCGUUGCACAAAACAAAAUGCAUAGGAUUUCAAAGGAAGCCAAUUAUAUUUAAAUACAGUUAUCAGAACAUGUUUUUAAAACAUGAUGAACUAAAAUAAAUUAAAAAGCACUUUAUUAACACAUUAAAUAUUAAGAUCUAGAGGCAGGUCUAACACUCUCCUAAUCUGACAAUAAUGAAUAUCAAUGACAUUUCAAAAUAUCUACAACAAUAUCACAACUGUAAUGCGAUUUUAAAACAUUUGCCUAUUGGUGACAAAGCCAAGGCAUUGCUAAUACUGCUGUGGUUUCUUUCAAUCCUAAUUAUAGGAAGUGCUGAAUUGCAGUUCAAAGUUAGUGAAAAUGGAGACAUUUUUCCCAUCCAAAUAUAUAUACCCGGAGGAGUGCAUGGGCCCCAGGUUAAGAACUCGAGGUAGUGUGUGGCUCUAGGUGGUGAUGGCUGUCUUGCGAAAGAUCCUAAACCUUAUUCUGCAGCUCAGGGCCAGAGCAACUGGGAUCAAGAUUUAGGAGCCCAACAGGUGUCUCAGUUCUCUGGUGUUAUUGGUGGGUGGGGCUGGGAUAAAGCUGGAGAUCUGCAGGCAGAGGCAAGGCUCCAGCGCCUUACCCCUUCUGAGUGUGGCUCACUCCUGGGCAGGCACCCACCUCCCUGAGCAUCAGAUGCCUCCCCUAAAGGCAAGGAGCAUAAACCCAACUGCUCACAUGAAUCAUGAGGAUCAAAGGAAAUGAUGACACGUGUUCCUUGCAUAGGUAAGGUGAUCAAUAGAUGUUCCUGCUUCUAAAGAAGAAGGAGAUUUAUUGAAUUAAAUGCACAGAAAUGUAUGGCCAAGACACAGCAGCCUCCAAUGCACACAGAUAUCUGCUUUCAUAAUGAUGAGUGUUUCAUGGCAAUAUUCACCUCCAGGUGCCUCGGGUGUUUCCGUCCAUGACUGUGUUUUUACAGAGAUUCACAGGAAACUCAGAAGAGCCUCCUUUUUGCCCUCAUAAAUCUACUGCUGUGGACGCUUGCUGUUGCCUUUGCUGACAUGCCAUCAUCAAAUGAUUUUGCACCAUCAGGGGCUGAUUUAUGGGAUUAUGUUAUUGUUCCAGCACAGAUUGAUAUCUGGGUUUUUUCACCUCUUUAACUUUGGUAUCAUAAGAAUUCCAUUACAUUGGUAGCAUCUUUAAAUUAGCUUGAUUUCUUUUGCUGGCGUUCAGUUAGAAAAUUAUGUAGAAGAAUAUUCUUAUUUAAAACAUUUACCUCUGUGCUCCCUAAAUGCACAUCAAAAGUCCUUGUUAGCCAUUAAAUGUUGUUGAUAUUCAUUCUUUGUUACAGAAUGCAAUGCCCACUUGAAAACUUCUUGGCUACCAUUUUGUUUCAAGGUGAAAAACCGGUUCAUAAAUCAAAUUUUAAAAUUUGUAAAAAGCUGUGGACCCCAGCAAUUAUCACAAGUCACACAGAAUGAACAUCAACUGUUUCAGUACAACUGAAAGAGAAUUUCCCUGUAGUCAAUUACAUGGAUCCUUUCUAAUAUUAAUACUUUUACGAAAGAUCCUUUCUUUAGUAGAAUUUAAGAGAAACCUAGCUGAAAUAUUCGACCUGCAGGACUAGCCAAGUUUCUCAGAAACACCUGUGAUAUGACAUAUGGUCUUACUGCAAUUGGAGGCUAUUCAACAGUGGAAUACCAAUGCCUGCUUCACAUUCUCUUAACUGGUCAGUCAACUGAGGCCUUGAGCAUUGACCCAAAAUCUAGGGUGAGGCUUUCUGCAUUUGGGAAGAGACUGACCAGCUAUCUCUAGGGUUCUCCCCCAAUCUGAAGACUUAAGUGGGUAGACUCUGCAUUCUCAUGGGACAGAGUGUGGGAUACAGCUAACUGAUCCUCCAGGAUUUCUACGCUGUUUUUAUUGUAUUCCCAGUGAUUUUCCCAUAGUUUAGAAAUAUUGAAAUGUCCUCAUCUGAGAUGAUUAUAGGCAGAAAGCAUCCUCCUAUCCCCAGUGUUUUUCAGCACCCACCACCCCCCCCCGCCGGCAUAUCAUUCUAGGAAGGAAUAUUAUCCUUUAUGUGGAAAUGGAGCCUGCAAUGAUAUCUAAAUCAGUUCCUGGGCCUGGGUGGUGUUGCCAUAACUACUGAUCUAGGUUUGUAAUAUCAGCAAAUAGAAACAGACCUGCCCUACAGUGCUCAGACCAUUUGUUCAUAUUUAUUUAUGUCUCCUUUUUGCUCCUGUUAAACACAUUAUUUAGCUGUCACGUAAUCUUUUAGUGAGAUGAUUCCGAUCACCCUAUCCUGAGAAAAAUCUUAAAGGCCCUCCAUCCCCACCUUGGCUCCAGUCACACACCGUUUAGAGGUCUCAGGUUCCCACUGGUUUCCCAGCUCCACCGAAUGUCCCAUUUGGAUAAGCCGCAGGCUCUCAGCCCUCGGCGUCCCCAGCUUUGUUGGAAAGGUGAACACAGCAGGCUUUGCAGCAGCUGUUGGUCAGCACUUGACCUUAUUGGCCAUGAUGAAGGCCAGUAGGCUGGACAAGCCCAAGCGAGGGUGAUGGUCGUUUAACCUCUACAGGCCUUUCAGACCACCCCAUGCUGUCUCUGUGGCCAGAAGAUGCUCCGAGACUUCAGAACUGGGUCUUGGUCAGGACUCGACCAGAAAAGACAAUCUCAACCUAGGACUCAAGACCCAGAUGUGGGAGGAGGCGUAUGAAAAAAGCAGCCAAUGGGCUACCCUGAGAGUCAGGGACCUGGUAUCAAGAAAGGAGGGGGAUCUGCCGGCAGCUGCAGGGCCACCAUUGAGGGUAAGGGCAAGAGCAAGGCAAGGCCCCCACCCCAGAUUUGCAUUCAGCUUUCCAGUGGACGGGGCAUGCAAGCUUUCCCAGAAGCCCAGGCAACAGAGGGAUCCUGGACUGAGGAGUGAGGCCAGUUCCUGUGUUCUCAUGCUCCCGAGGGUGGCAUGGCUGAAGCAGACCAGUGCUCCUCAAGGAGCUGCCAGGGCCCAGCUCCUCCUGCUCCUGCUUAGUGAGAAUUGCCCGGGGGCAUCUUCCCUGUGCUGCCUCAUGUGGAAGCAUCAUCAAGGAGGAGUUGUCAAGUGCCAGGUAUGAGAGGCCACUAACUGCCGGGCUUGACAGAACGACCUAUUGGAGGGCUCAAGGAAGAAAAAGGCCACCCUCACUCAGCGUGCACUUAGGGCAGAAUAAGCCUCACCCAAAAUCCCUGUGGGACUUUCCCCAUAGAAUUCUAUGGAAACUUCCAUACAUCACCAUUAGAUUAAGUUGCCCAGGGAGAUUGAGGGAAAUAUAAGAUUUCUGCUGCAGGAAAAGGAAUCUGACAUUUCCGGCUUCUGAACCAAGCGUGAAAGGCUGAUUUGUAAUUUGUUUGGUCUUAACAAAAAUAAUAGUGUGCAAUUAACUAAGGCGUCAAGCACAGUUGGAGUGAACGAUAAACGGAAGGCAGCAUUUUCCAUAAGUAAAAGCUUUCAGAGUGUGCAUCUCUAAAUCAUCCACUUCUUCGCUACUGACUCUUUUCCUUUCUUUUGAUGUUGUUAUUUUCUUGACAUAAUUACAGCAAAGAUUGGUACAUUGCACCCAAUCUUAAUUGUAUCUCCCUUCAGUCUCAUUUAUUUCAUUGUUACCUGCUAUUCCUUUAAAUUAGUAAGUCAUGAUGUUUACAGAUUGGUAGUAUUCUUAAAAAUAUUUCAAAUUGUGCUAGAAGGUUUCACCCUGAAAUGGGGUGAGUACAUUCUUUUAUUUAUUCUAGAGCUUGCAAACAUAUUUUAAGUGUAUAAUACAGUGAUCCUAAAGAAAGGCUGGGGAAAGAAUUUGAGUUUGGAGGAUAGCAGUGAAAAGAGGGUCACAUGAACAGGUGAAGAGGAGGCUGGCGUGUCCUUGGUGCAGGGCCUUGGGUAAGGAAGGUGCUAAGUAAGGAACAGGGUGGUGGCCUCACUUUUCUGCGUGGUGCAGACUGCAAACGCCCUUGAUUUUUUGAUCACCACCCCCUCCCCACAUUCUGUGAGCAGCAGGACCGGGAGCGAGACCGUGGUCCGAAGUUCUCCCGAAACCCAGGUAGGCUUUGUAUUUGUGCUGUUAUUAUUAUUAUUAUUAUUAUUAUUAUUAUUAUUAUUAUUAUUUUUGAUGCGGAGUCUUGCUCUGUCGCCCAGGCUGGAGUGCAGUGGCGCGAUCUCGGCUCACUGCAAGCUCCGCCUCCCGGGUUCACGCCGUUCUCCUGCCUCAGCCUCCCGAGUAGCUGGGACUACAGGCGCCCGCCACCAUGCCUGGCUAAUUUUUUGUAUUUUUAGUAGAGACGGGGUUUCACCAUGUUAGCCAAGAUGAUGUCGAUCUCCUGACCUCAUGAUCCACCCGCCUCGGCCUCCCAGAGUGCUGGGAUUACAGGCAUGAGCCACCGCGCCCAGCCUGUGCUGUUAUUUUGCACCAAAUUUUUGUUUCAGAUUAUUCUAAGAGAUUUUUUUUUUAAUUUGAGACAGAGUUUCACUCUUUUUGCCCAGGCUGGAGUGCAAUGGCGUGAUCUCAGCUCACUGCAUCCUCUGCCUCCCGGGUUCAAGUGAUUCUCCUGUCUUCUAAGGGCUUUUUUAAAAACACAAACACAAAUAUUGAGAAUUACGUAAUUAAGUAGAAUUGGGAAACAGGCCUAGCAAACAAGGUCAGUUGUAAACCAAGACCUCAGUGAUGCUUUUGAGCUGUUGAGUGAUGUUUUGAGCUACAUUUGGCACCUGCUAACCACUCAGAGAAAAUUAUCUUCCCAAUACAUGAGUGUUUUAGGUCCUGCAGUAGGAACAAUGAAACUACAAAAGAUUUACAAUCCCAUAUCAAAAAACAAUUCCAAAUUCAAGAUGACAAGAUGUCUCACAAGUCGAAAAGGAACGGGAAAUAGCUCCCAGUGCAUUCCCAUAGAAUCAUAGCACAUACCUUGUGGUUUUGUUUGUUCCUGUGUCUGAUUAGGUUCUGAAGGUCUUUAUCAGAAGUAGCUGAUUUCCCUGCCUUGUAGUUGAGGGUUCUUGGCCCCUGCUAGCUGCACUUCUUAAUUAGAGGAACUUGAACAGUUUCUGGAGGUUGGAAAGAAAAAACAAGGAGAUGACUUACGGCGCUCAGAGCCAGUAACAUGCUGGCAGCCAGCAGGCCUGAAAGGGGCAGCAGGGAGGGCCGUGUCUGCCUUCUCUGGGCUUCAAUGGUGGGUGACACCGGGUGCCUCAGGUCACCCUCAGUAGAAUUUUAAAUGCCUUAAUGACGUUUCAAAAAUAGAGAUUCAUUUGGACUUAGAGUGCAGCUAAUUUCUGCUCCGGGUAUUUUAACCUCUUGCAGUCAACAGCAUUCGUAGCUCUGCAGGGCCAUCUGUGCUGGUCCCUUGAUAAGAAGCUACAAUUCAAUGGAUUACCAAUAGCACCCUCAUGUAUGACUACAGAGGCACUGUCGCCAGGCUCAGGCACUUUUUAACUAUAACUAGCAUUUUAGUUUUUAUUCUUUUUUUUUUUUUUUGAGACUGAGUCUCACUCUGCCAACCAGACUGGAGUGCAGUGCACAAUCUCGGCUCAUUGCAACCUCUGCCUCCUGGCUUUAAGCAAUUUUCAAGCCUCAGCCUCCCGAGUAUCUGGGACCACAGGUGUGCGCCACCAUGCAUGGCUAAUUUUUGUAUUUUUAGUAGAGAUGGGGUUUCACCACAUUGGCCAGGCUGGUCUCAAACUUUUGACCUCAGGUGAUCUACCAUCCUUAGCCUCCCAAAGUGCUGGGAUAACAAGCAUGAGCCACCACGCACAGUCAGCAUUUUAGUUUUCUUAGACCUUUAAAAGCAACAACAAAUAUUUAGAAUUACAUAAUUAAGCAGAGUUAGGAAACAGAGCUGGAAAACAUUUAGUUUUCUUAAACUUUGUCUUAAUGGAUUGCAGAGCCAAGUGAAGUGGCAGACAGUAAUGAGGCUGAGUCUAAAUAGAAGUGAAUAUUUUAAUUUCAUAACAGAAAACUGGGAGAUGAGCAAAAAGUAAUUUUCUCCAAGACCCAAUCUCAGGAUCCAGUGGUUCUCAACCUCGGUUUCCACUCCCCAGUGCCUGGGGGUGGAGGGCGCUUUGCACCUCGUUUCAACAGGGACUCUUGGGGGGGCUCUGGGAUGCUUCGGGUGCCCCUCUCCGCCCCCAGCAAUUCAGACACAGCUGCUCUGUGUCCUGGAAAGGAAAGAGCCCUCCGGGAUGACCCCUCGCUCACUUCCUGCGUGGGAAUCGCUGCUGGAAAUGGACCCUGAUGGUCUAGGCUUCCGGAGGCCAGCUCCAGGGCGCAGCAGAAGAGCUGCUGCCUCACCUUAAACCUGCCUCCGUGAGGACGGAACCUGGACUCCUCGCCAUUUCUGCAUUUCCACGUUUGCUUUUUACCCCGCGCAAAGCGUUUCCACUUUCUCCUCUCAGUGUAUUUGCUCCCUUCCUUCCCCCGACACCAGCCUGUCUCCCUCUGCUGCCCAGGGGCCCCAGGCGACCUCCCUCCCCUCACACUCCCCUUGCACCCUCUAUCCUCCCUUCCUGCCCCUCCCUCUUCCUUCCCUCUGCCCCUGCCACCCUCCCAGGGCCCUGAGCAGUGCGGGGAGGCAUGGAGAGGCUGAGGCCUCCCCACUGACUCGGCAGCCACGGCGAUGCAGCGCCCAGCGUCUUCACGGUGGAACUAGCCACUUCUUCCCCUCCCUGUUUCCUCUUCCAAAAACUGGAACCAGGGUCACCUCCAGUCCUUGUCAGCACCAGGCAGCCAUCAUGGGGAGCGAACUGCUCAGCACUCAGGAAGUGUGAGCUGCUCACGAGCCCCUCACACCCCAAGGCCAGGUGUCCUGUUGGAGUCCCCCCAACCCAUCUGCCUCCUCCCACAGCCUCUCCCCUUCCCCACCUGAGAGCAGGCCACCUGCAGCUGGCUGUGGCCCGUGGGCCUCCUGGGGGGCUGUGUCCUGUCUCCCAAUCUGGGGCUGGACGCUCCCCCAGGUGGGGCUGGGCAGUGUGGCCCCUGGCGGGCAGCAACAUGGGGCCUGCCGGACCAGCCCAGCCCUGCGCCUAGUAAGCGCUCAGCACCUAUCGGAGAAUGAGGUUGAGUUGAUGUCCUUCAGGCACUGCUAGAUCAUGAACCAUCAGAGAAAGACGAAGGGUGUGGAGUGCACCUUAACUGCAGUGUCAGGAAAGUGGACAUUUUUAGCCACAAAGCCAGGGCCGUCAAAAGGCUUUCUGGUGAUGCUGACUGCCAAAGGCAUGUCACUCCGGCCCUACAUACAUCAUGUGAAUUAUCUUUCUCUAAACACUGAAUUUAUUGGUCAGAGUGUUUUAGUACGUGAGAAUAAGCUUUAUGGGGUUUUGUUUGUAAUCACGUGCCCUUGAAAUGUCAUCAUACCAUUCGCCAGAAAACACACCAGCAGGACGUUUGAGAGAGGUUUGUAUUUUGAGUCAAGAGGCACUAAAUGGAGGAGGCUGCUCACUGUUCUGGGCCUGGGACUGUCACCCGGCACAUGAGGCUUUGCUGUUUAUUUUGUUAAGUAACUUAAUGUUAGGGGUGUCAUUUAAAUAACUUCUCUGUAAACAUCUUUUCUUUUAUUUCAUUGUAGUCCUUCCCUGAUUGAAGAUUUCUAUGCUACUGUGUAAAUUCAUUCUCUUCCCACAAUCUCUCUGUCUCUCUCUGCCUCCCUCCCUCCCUGCUCUCUCUCCCUCCCUCUCCUCCCCUUUCCUCCUUCCAUUCAGCUGUGACUUUUAUUCUUGGAGCCUGCAUUAUCCUACAUUAUUUGAGAGCUGCUAAAACAAAGUCCCCACAGGCUGGGGGCUUCAACGACAGAAAUGCAUUCUCUCGCAGACUUCCUGGAGAGGGGAAGUCUGAGAUCCAGGUGUGGGCAGGGCUGGAUCCCGAGGCUGCUGCUUGGCUUGUAGACAUCAUCUUCUCCCUGGGUCCUCACAGGAUCUGUCUCCUCUACGUGUGUCUGAAUUUCCUCUUCCUAGAGGGACACCAGUCCUAUUGGAUUAGGCCCCAACCUGAUUACCUCAUUUUAAGGUAAUUAUCUCUAUAAAGAUUUCUAUUUCCAAAUACAGUCUCGUUCUGAGGUGCUGAGGGCUGGGACUUCAGCAUAGGAAUUUGAGAGGACACAGCUCAGCCCACAGGAGAGCCUUGCUUUCCAAGCACGUAUGAGUUUGUUCAUUUGUCUUCUUUCCUGCAGCUUUUGCCUCUCAGAUGUCCUCCUGUUUGUCUUUGCCGGGGGUCUCUGCCCUGCGGGCCCCACCGCCCCAGCCUCUCCACCCGCGCCCCCCAGACUGUGUUCCUUCCCAUCCCCCUUUGUUCCUGCAGCAUCGACACAUUCCUCCUCACAAACUUUAGGUUUUGCAGGUUUAUCUGUUUUUCUUAGCUGUCCCAGAAUUUUUUCUUUCUUCCUUUUUCAGAUCACUGUAUCGCCUUUAUCUCUUACGCCUGACUUUUCCCUCCGCCUUCAGGAUUCUUCCUGCCUUGUCUGCUGGGCCUCUCUCCUUGCUCUCAUCCAGAUCAAUGAACAGGGACUCGAUCCAUCUUCUUUGGCACUUUUCCCAUUUCCCUGUGAUCCCUGGAUGACACUAUUUUUUGUCUCACUUUACCUUUCACCGUCUCUAUAAACCUCCCCCGUCCCUGUUCUCAUGCUGCUCCUCUGCAUGUGUCCAAGGUUAACAGUGUUCCUUUCUCUCCUUCCUUUCCAGCCACUGCUGUCUUGAAAAUGCCUUGUCCUGGUUGAGCGAGCCCCCUGCCCUGUUCCCUCGCUCUGGUUUGGAGCAUCGCCUCACCACUGCUAACUGCUCAGGGAAGCCGGUCAUCCUCCCUGGAGCUGGAGCAGGGGCGCGGGGUGGGUGAAGGGAUGCUCCUGCUGUGUGCACUGGCCUGAGGACAGAGAAAGAGGGCAACCGGCAAAGUGAGAGUGUGGAGGGGUGGAGUCAGGCAGGCAGUGCAGACACUCAGGCGGGACAACAGACACGGGCUGACUGGUGGAUCCUUAUUUCAAACAGCCGCCUGGAGCAUCAGUGAAACUUGAAGGUGGCUCUCCAGUGAGGAGCUGAGGCUGAAAUGAUCAUGGGGAAUCUUUUCAUUCCAUUGGAUUUGAUGCUGAUGUACCAAGUUGAUGCUUUUUCUUAAUCACCAUUUUCAUCAUUUUAAAUGUUUUACCAAAUUUAGAUGGAAGAUGCUUUCUGAAAGCCUUCAAUUCUACUUCUUAGGAGAAUUUUACUCAGUUAACUUAUAGUUACUUCCGGAAAUGAUUAUUAGUUGUUAAUUUUAUUGAUCAAAUUGUUUGAAACAAGCACCUACCAGAGUGCUUGUUUGGGGGAUACACCAGACCAGUCACAAGGCGCAUCAGAGAACAGUUAUGUUCCAUCAUGUGCACUUUACGUGCAUUCUUGUUUUACUCAGAAGUAGACAAAUUCAUUAAAAUAUCCUCAAUUAUCACCACCGGUCUGCCACAAGACUUGAGAAGAGGGUAGAAUGGCCUUCUUCAUGAUUCCUGCAGAGGCUGACAGACUUGUGCGUGCAACCAGCCCGCCGCCUCUGCAUCUCUUCACGUUCUUCUUGUUUGGUCAGCCUCCUGUCUCUUGCCUCCUUGGAAUCUUGAACUCUGCAAGAGCAGGGCCGACUUGGUUUCCUCCACCAGCAUUGAUGGAGGGCAGCAAAUCUGCCUGAGCUUUGGCUGCGUCUUCUCCAGAUCAAUUGUUAUCUUCAUGUGUCCAGAUGCACAGCUGGGCAGGUAACACAAAGCAUCAUUUCCAUGCUCAGGCACCCAGGCCAAUCCAUUCCAGAUGCUUCAUGAGUUGAGGGAUUUUCCAUAAACUUCAGAGAUGUCAGAGUCCACCAAAAUAUUAUAAGGCUGGGUUCUUUAUAUAUAUGUAUAUGAACAUAAUCUAUAUUUUAUAUAUUUAUAUCUAAAUAUUCUAAUCUAUACAUAUUUAUAUAAUCUAAGGCUUAUAUAUAUAAGCUAUGGUGUUGAGCUACAGUGUUCAUAUUAUAUAUAUAUUUUUUAUAUAUAUGUAAUUAUGUAUAUCUAUAUCCUUAGAUUAUACAUAUAUAUAAUCUAAGUGUGUGUGUGUGUGUGUAUAUAUAUACACACACACACUAAGGCUCUUUGUAAAAUGAAAAUGUAUGUUUAAAGUAGUUAUAUAAAUUUUUUUAUUCAAACAGUAUACACUUAUAUGUUUACAUUUCAAUUUCAGGAUGACACCCCUGACUUUCACAAUGUCAUAAUUUAAAUGAUCUAUAGGGACUUUUUUCUUCCUCUAAGUGCUCUUAACCCAAAAAAGCCAAUUAAAUGGAGAACAAUAUAAAUAGAUUUUCUCUGUUGCUGCCAACUUUGAUCUGCCCUCAUGACGAUAACAAUUUAUUAGAGAAGGAGAUGGCUCUAAUUUGGUUCAGUUUAACAAAUGUUACUCCGUUGGAAUCAGACACCCCUCUGUGAUGAGAGUGAACACAGAGGACAUUCGGUGAUGGUGCCGGGCGGGACCCUGCAAUGGUCUGUGGCGAUUAUAAGACAACAGCGAUGCCGGGGCCGCAGUGUUCAGAGCCCAGUGGCGGCUCUGUUGUGUGGACCAACACUGAACGCAGAGCUCCUCUAAAGGCUCAUGGUUAUUUAGAGAGCAGAACAUGGUGUGAUGACUUUGACCUCUAAAUGAAGGAUGGACCCCUGGAAGCCUGGUGCUCCCCAGAGGGCUUGUGCCUUUGUGCACCUCCAGGUGAUCCAUGUGUGUCCAGGCCUGCAACUAGCCAAUUAUAUAAUGCUAUGAUUGCUCUUACUAUUACUAUUAUCAUUUUACAGUGCUUUGGUAUUUCAUGAAGAGGCCAGGAAAAGCGUGGAUUACGUGACUGUGUGCAGAAUUAUAAUGGUAUAUGUUAUGUUGUCUAACCUGUAAAACUCUUAAGAAUUUUUUUCUGAUUAUAGAAAAUAGUACAUGCUAAGGUAGAGAAUGAAAAGUUUCAUGAUUCCACCUGUUAGAGAUACUGGCUGUUUUUCUGCACCCGUGAACACACACACAUGCACACACACGUGUGCACACACACACUUCCACAGGCAUACAUGAUUUUUUCAGCAGUGGGCCCAUGCUGUUCAGGAUAGUCUGAGGUGUGCACAUCUUUUCUCAUAAGGUCCCUGGACAUAUUCCUGGUCAACUAAGUCUUCAAAAGGCUGCUGAGCCCCCAAGGGUGCAGGCUGAUGUGGACGUCUGAGCCAGCCCUGUCGGGUGACAGUUAGGAGGCCUCCAGUUCUUCCCUCCCUAAACAACCCACGGGGACUGUCCUGUGUAUCAUGUUUGCUCCUUGUACCCUAAUUACCAUAGGGAAACUCCCAGAAGUGGGGUACUGGAUCAAAGGGUGGGAACACCCUCCAUAUUGAUUGGAUACAGUGCUGCCAAAUUGCCCUUCAGAAAGGUUACCCCAGGUUACAGUCCCAUCAGCAGCAGGAGGCUGGAAACCUCCCAGGCCUCUCCAACCCUGAUGAUUUCACUACUUCCCGAUCUCACUGGCAUAGCAUAUCUCAUCUUUUUUGGCUUACAUAUUUUCUAUUUUAUUCAGGUGUAGCAUCUUUCAUACAGUUGGGUUUUUGUAUUUUGGUAGGGAUGGAUUUAGGGAAUGGGUUUUGGCCACUUGACUUUCUCAUUUUGCCCUUGGUCCAUUUUUCGUUUGAUUGUUAUUUAUCUUAUUAUCUUUAGGAAUUUUUUGUCAAGUGGAUUCCCAGCCCUCAGCAUUGGUUAUCUCCUGCAGCAUAGCCCAUUAUCCUAAAACUCAGUGUCUUGAAGACACCAACAUGUCUUCUCUCCUAGUUUCUGUAGUUGAGGAAUCUGAGUGCUGCAUGCCUGGGUGCCUCUGGCUCUGGGUCUGUCAUAGAGCUGCAGGGGAACUGCAGGCCAGGGCUGCUGUCUCAUCUGGAGGUCUGACUGGGGAGGAUUGGUUCCCAUGAGCACUCAUGUGCUGGCAGCAGGAUGCAGUCCCUGGGUGGUGUUGGCUGAAGGCCUCAGUUCCUUGCCUAUGGGCCUCUCCAUGGGGCAGCUCACAGCAUGGCAGCUGGCCUCCCUCAUAGGGAGCUAGGGAGAGAGAGAGAGGUUACCCAGGAUCAAAGCUGCAGUCUUUUGUGGCUUACUCUCAGAAGUGACUUUCCAUCACUCCGCCAUCCUCUGUGCAAUAGAAGCAAGCUCAGGUCCCUCGCACUCAGGGGUAGGAGGUCAAACAGGGAGUGAACGCCAGGAAUCGGAAAUCCUUUUGGGACAGCUUAAGGGCUGCCUGAUACAGGAGCAUAAUAUUAGCUGAUUCCGUAGGUAGGAUCUUGUUUUCAUUGUAUGUUCAAAUCAGUUAUGGAUGUAUAUAUAAACUAUCACAUUUUUACACAUGCAUAAUAAAUUCUGGCAUACACGUUCAUGUAAACCA